AACGAGGGAGAUGAUAUUUUCUUUUGUGAAUAUGAAUAUGACAUUCAUUGGCAUGCUUUCAAGCGUCUUGCUGAGAUU